UUUUUGUUGAUCUAGAAUAUACCUAACUUAAAUCCACAAAGGAAACAAAAUGAAUUUUUAAAUCAAGUAAAUCUACAGUAUGAUCUUCACUAUCUCUAGGACGAGGAGACGUGACAAAGCCUUCUGAUUGAACCCCCAGCUCCAAGUAGGGCCAAUUGUGAAGUUACCCACAGGCUUGCUGAGGGUGCCCUUCAACUCAUCACCGAGGUCACUGACAGAGGUGUUACACAAUACCAUCAAGGGAAUCCUGGCCGCCAGCUGGGUCAGCUCAUUCUGAUCACAACCUUUGAGCCCAUUGGUCCAGCUGAUUCUCCCCAGCUUACCUUCUGCUUACCUAGUUCAUACCCCUGUGAUGUGCUUAAGAGAAGUCUACAGGUGAUUGUCUCAAAAGCAUUGGAAAAGUCAAGGUAAUUUAUAUGCACUGCUCUCCCCUUCACUCUUCACACUGCAGAAGGUAGUUGGGUUGGCCAGGCAGAAUUUACAUUGUGUAAGCUGUUACUGCCUGUCCACUGUCACCUUCUUAAUCCUCCCACAGACUAAGGUCAGACUGGCUGGCCCCUUCUUUUGCAAAUCUAGCCCUUUGAAAACAGAGGCAACUUUUACCUUCUUCCAGUCCCCACGUGCCUCUCCCAGUCACCAUGACCUUGCUGCGCUCCCCUGUUCUGCUAUGCAUGCCUUGUGGUUCCUACAACUCCUGAACCCCUUCGGCCUCAUAUCCCAUCUCCAAACACUCUGAGUAUCCUCCUUCCAUUAUCCCUUCACCAACAUCUCCCCUCUCCAAGUAACACUAACUUAAGUGGCACUAAAUUCUUUUAAAGAAUCUAGGAUCCAGCUCAACUUCUCCAAUGGGACUUCGGCUUCAUUUGCAUUUCAUGCAUUGAUAGAUUGGUGAAUCAAACAUUUGGUUGCAUUUUGAUGUGUUAUUAACAUAAUCAUUUUCUUCAUGUUCUUUCUUUUUUUUUUUCUAAUCAGACAACCUUGAAAAAUUCCCAACUUUUUUAAGACAAGAAAUCAGUCGAGAACAAUUCCAUGUCAUAAAAUGCUUUGAAUUUGCCAAACCAACACCCUUUACAGGAAGAAAAAAAGAAACAACAAGAUCACGAGGCUGAAAGAGGUCAGGAGGUCAUCUAUGUCCUCCCCCUCCUUGAAAGCAGGACGCUCAACGCCUAUCUCACUGCUAAGACAUUGGUCUAACCUGUUCUUAAUGACCUGUGAUGAAGACAUCACAGCCUCCCAGGUCCCUGGGCCUGUGGGCUUUCUCCACUUGGUGAAGGAGAAAGUGUUUUUGACACUGAACAUCCUGCUUUGUCUGAGACCUUACGCUACUCCAUUUGCCAUGCAUACCAUGUGUCUCUGUGCAUCCCAGUGUGCCCAUCCCCAACAAGAUGGCAUUUCUCUUGUCAGAGGUCAGACCUGCCACUCUAACUUAAGGUAUAGAAUCACAGAAUCAUUAAGGUUGGAAAAGACCUCCAAGAUCAUGUAGUCCAACUGUCCAUCUACCACCAGUGUUGCCCACUAAACCAUGUCACUAAGUAUUACAAUUAGGUCCUCAAAUUUAAUAAUGUAUCUUAGUAUAUCUAUAUACACACAUAUACAUAUAUAUUAUAGUACAGAUUAUAUUGACACA
ensembl:lncRNA